UACGAAGGGGGCUAGCGUUGUUCGGAAUUACUGGGCGUAAAGCGUGCGCAGGCGGCCUUCCAAGUCAGGGGUCGAAAGCCCAGAGCUCAACUCUGGAAUUGCCUUUGAGACUGUGAGGCUUGAGUACGGGAGAGGUGAGUGGAAUUCCCAGUGUAGAGGUGAAAUUCGUAGAUAUUGGGAAGAACACCGGUGGCGAAGGCGGCUCACUGGCCCGAAACUGACGCUCAUGUACGACAGCGUGGGGAUCAAACAGG
rnacentral:rRNA from 1 species